AAGUCGAGCAUCCAUGAGUAAAGUGGCGACCGGGUGAGUAACACGUGACUAACCUGCCUUCGAGUGGGGGAUAACCUCGGGAAACCGGGGCUAAUACCGCAUAAUGCCUUCGGGUUAAAGGAGCAAUUCGCUUGAAGAGGGGGUCGCGGCUGAUUAGCUAGUUGGCGGGGUAACGGCCCACCAAGGCGAUGAUCGGUAGCCGGCCUGAGAGGGCGCACGGCCACACUGGAACUGAAACACGGUCCAGACUCCUACGGGAGGCAGCAGUGGG
rnacentral:rRNA from 1 species